AAGGCAGUGCCCGAAAAGCCUGUAAUAGAGUAGGGA
rfam:Capnocytophaga sp. oral taxon 329 str. F0087 C_spHMPREF9074-1.0_Cont78.1, whole genome shotgun sequence.